rnacentral:rRNA from 1 species
UACGGAGGGAGCUAGCGUUGUUCGGAAUUACUGGGCGUAAAGCGCGCGUAGGCGGCUUUGUAAGUUAGAGGUGAAAGCCCGUGGCUCAACCACAGAAUUGCCUUCGAUACUGUAGAGCUUGAGACCGGAAGAGGUAAGUGGAACUGCGAGUGUAGAGGUGAAAUUCGUAGAUAUUCGCAAGAACACCAGUGGCGAAGGCGGCUUACUGGUCCGGUUCUGACGCUGAGGCGCGAAAGCGUGGGGAGCAAACAGG